GGUGAGGUGGAAGAAUCUGGAGCUGCUCCAGCUGGUCAGGACGAUACAGACACACGUUCAGACAGCCCGAAGGAGGAAAAGCCUGCUUCAACAGUGGUAUCUCCAGGCUCAGAACAGGCAGACGUCAGUGAGAUUACUCCUGCUGAACAGGCCAAAACUUCUCCCAGUGAAGCGGCUCCAUCGGAAAAUAUGCCAAU